rnacentral:tRNA from 1 species
GCCCGGGUGGUGAAAUUGGCAGACACGCUGGAUUUAGGUUCCAGUGCCGCAAGGCGUGCGGGUUCAAGUCCCGCCCCGGGCACCA